rnacentral:lncRNA from 1 species
AGUAAGCAACCAUUCAUCCACCACGGAGCCUGUGUCACCAGCAGCAUUUCCUUCUGGAAAGAGCUUGCAGGAAGCUGUGUCCUUGAGCAUUCCUGUCCCUGUCCCAGACUGGGCUGGAGCCAGGUGGGCAGCAGUGAGGAGGCAGCCAUCCCACACGCUGGGCAGCGUAGCCAGGUGCAGGGCACCAUGGAGACCUUCAUGGGUCGCUAAAACAAGCUGAAGGACACCCACGAGAAGGAGGUCCUGGGCCUGCAGAACAAGCUUCUGGAACUGAACUCUGAGAGGUGCCGGUGAGUCAGCCGCUCAGAACUCCCCUUGAUGCCCCAGGGCGCGAGUUGCUGCUGUCCCAGGGAAAGAAGGGAAACUGAGACUCAGUGUGGGGGUGGGGUGAGUCACUGGCCAAGGUCCCACAGCUCACAGGUGGUGG